rnacentral:misc_RNA from 1 species
AAAAAAAGUCCCAUUUUAUCUUCUUCUCCCGCGCAUUAGUUGUUUCUUCCAAUUCUUUAGUGAACCCAAACACAUAAGACAUUUUUCCAGAACACCAAAGUACUGCAUUUUGGUAUGUGUACCAGAAUGCAGUGCGCAGGAGGGUCUUGCUUUGUGUAGCUUCACAAAUUAUCUACCUCUGAUGAUGUUCUCCUAAUUGAACUGUUAUUUUCAUACCCUUGUGAUCCCAUUUGGGUUGGAUGUUGCAAGGAGGGUUGCUUUUCAGGUGGUAUAUUUUAUGGUGAUUGCUUAUACAUUCCAGUGUAAGAAUGAAGAAAAUUUAUUUUGAAAAUGCGGAAAUGAAGAUGGGGUAAUGACUGGAGGCAUUUUAUUUUCAGUUUUCUGUUUUAUAGGAAACAUCAGUCGGUUUUGAACCAUGUAAAACUUAUACCAGAUUAUAAAUUUUUAGCUUCCAAUUUUGUAACCAUCUUUCCAAUUACUUCAUUUUUCUUAUUAUUAUAUAUUGCCCAAAAUGUUGCUUUCCAUUUUUUUAUUGCACUAUGGUUUAACUCAUUUAUAUAUUUCUGCAUAGGGUGCUUGCAUAAGUAAUUGACUCCUACUCUUCUUAAAUGACUUUACAG